UACAGAGGUGGCAAGCGUUGUCCGGAAUUAUUGGGCGUAAAGCGCGCGCAGGCGGUCCUUUAAGUCUGAUGUGAAAGCCCACGGCUCAACCGUGGAGGGUCAUUGGAAACUGGGGGACUUGAGUACAGAAGAGAAGAGUGGAAUUCCACGUGUAGCGGUGAAAUGCGUAGAGAUGUGGAGGAACACCAGUGGCGAAGGCGACUCUUUGGUCUGUAACUGACGCUGAGGCGCGAAAGCGUGGGGAGCAAACAGG
rnacentral:rRNA from 1 species